GACGAACCGAGCGAACGUUAUUCGGAAUCACUGGGCUUAAAGCGCGUGUAGGCGGCUUUGCAAGUCGGGUGUGAAAGCCCUCAGCUCAACUGAGGAAGUGCGCCCGAAACUGCAGAGCUUGAGUGCCGGAGAGGGUGGCGGAAUUCCCCAAGUAGAGGUGAAAUUCGUAGAUAUGGGGAGGAACACCGGUGGCGAAGGCGACAUCCUGGACCGGUAUUGACGCUGAGGCGCGAAAGCCAGGGGAGCAAACGGG
rnacentral:rRNA from 1 species